GUACCCAUAGCUCAAUUGGAUAGAGUACCUGGCUACGAACCAGGCGGUUGGGGGUUCGAUUCCCUCUGGGUAUA
rnacentral:tRNA from 2 species